UGGUUGCACCAGGAUGGUGUGAGGAAGAGGGAAGAUCAUAUUUCAAAUUCAAGCUGGGAUUCAUUGUUUCAUCGUCGAUUACAGCAAGCGUUGUGUUAAAUUGGAUUCGUUAAAUUAAUUUCGCAAAACGAAAAUGUGCAUGGGUUCUACUCCACUGGACGGAGACAAAUGAGACAAGUAUCCUGGACAAUUCAAUGGUUCCAGAUAAAAUAAUGUUCGAGACCAACCGAAAGAUUGAGAUGGAGAAUUUGGAGACCCAAAGUUAACAAGAACCCUCCAAGAAAAAAUGGCUGAAUGGCGUACUACUGUAUUCAAGUGUUGCCGUUGCUAUUUAUAUAGGUUGCACUAGAUACAUUUUGUCUCAAAGGACUAUUAUGCAGCUUAAAAAAAGCCAACAUGCAAGUAGACUGGUAUGUGCUGCAAUGACAAACAAAAUAUAUACAGUAUCUGCAAUAUUUGAAUAACCAGAUAUCCAGUCAGCAGCUGUAAAAACCAAGAUGACUAAUAUAUGUGAAGAUACAAGGCGUUCCAUGUCAAAGGGAAUGGAUACAGCAGCUAAUGUUUACAACAGGCGCUUAAUGUGCAGUAAUUUUUUAAUUUUAAAUUGUAAUUGUAAUUAUCUUU